UACGGGGGGGCGAAGCGUUGUUCGGAAUUACUGGGCGUAAAGGGCUCGUAGGCGGCCAACUAAGUCAGACGUGAAAUCCCUCGGCUUAACCGGGGAACUGCGUCUGAUACUGGAUGGCUUGAGGUUGGGAGAGGGAUGCGGAAUUCCAGGUGUAGCGGUGAAAUGCGUAGAUAUCUGGAGGAACACCGGUGGCGAAGGCGGCAUCCUGGACCGGCAUUGACGCUGAGGCGCGAAAGCCAGGGGAGCAAACGGG
rnacentral:rRNA from 1 species